AACUAAAAACAUAAAAGGAAAAGUCUUUAUUUUCUGGAAUAUGGUCGCAGCUUUGCCCUAGUAAUCUCUUCAAAUCAUCAGGAUCGUCGCUUCUAUAGUAUUUUUCCAGCAAAACUCUGCCCCAAUCUCAACAACAGUGGAUUUCCAUAGCAGCGGUGUCUUCUUGUUGUGUAUACUUAGUUGCUACUCAUAUUAUUAGCUGCUCGAUCGGUGGAAAAAUAGAGAUGAAACUAUUGCAGAUUGAAAAUGAGGUCGAUUCUAAUAUGAAGAGUACUAUAGGAUAUACAUUUGUCGCACCUGGUGCUAUUGGAAAGGGACGAGGACGAGGGCUUUAGUCUUUGGGUGAGAAAGGAAAUUUACCAUCUAAGAGUAUAUUGCCUCAAUCAAGUGAUCUAGUUAAGAAGUACAUCAAAGAAAUUGAAACAAAUUAUAUAGGGAAGGGACGAGGACAAGGACUUAAAAACUCUACCAUGUCUACUAGUCAAGAAAUACGAAUGAUGCAUAAGAACUCCAUGGCUUUUGAGAAAGAGAACAUGCAAAUUAAUACCUCAUCUCCUACAUCUACUAAUCAAGUUAACAAAUACACCCAAGAAAUUGAAACAAUGGGUCCAGGUGCUAAAAAAAAAGGGACUAGAGAAAAGAACUGGAUCUUUGAGCUUCACUUUAGGAUUUUCUGAAUAUGAGGUGGGAUCUUUCAACAAGAGUACUGUUUUUGCUAAUGUUACUCCUACUAAAUGCACCAAAUCGAGUUUACCAUGCCUUCUAGUCACGAAAUGUAAAAGAUGAAAAAAAUAGUUCUUGAGAAAGAGGAUAUGCAAACCAAUGUUUCAUUGCCUCCAUCUGUUGAUCAAGUUAUGAAACACUCUAAAAAAACAGAAAAAAGGUAUGAUAUUUUGAAUUCAUAUGUUAUUAAGUCUUAGAAAUGAGUUUGAUUGCUAUAGUUUUUAUCAAAUUAUGCAACUGUAGGUUCAGCUAAUCCUACAAAGGUAAAAGAGUUCAAGGAAGCAACAAGUGCAAAGAAGUUGCUUCACUUGAAAUUGCACAGAAGUUGAAAGUAACAUUUUACAAUCGAACGAUUGGAACAAAUAACAAUCUUUUUUCAAGGCAUUUGGGAAAAAUUGUUCGUGAUCGUAACAUUUGUCACUUGGGGUAUCAUCGUCGCAUGAUAUUAAGCAAGAAAAGUUGAAUCACGAACAACCGUUACGAUCAGGUUUUGUUGAUGUUUCUAGAUAUCACUUGACAAAGAUUGAAAUUUUAAGUUUUCUGCCAGACUUUUGUUCAUUCUUUAGUGAAGAUACAAGUUUAGAAGAUGCACUAACUCAUUAUUAGUUUGCUAUGAAUAUUUUGCAAUACUUUGGAUGUUAUCUAAGUUUUUUUGUUAAGCAAAUAUUGAACAUCAUGGGAUGUUAACCAAUUUAUUGUAAUCAAUCAUACUCUUAUCUCUA